rnacentral:rRNA from 1 species
GACGAACGCUGGCGGCGUGCUUAACACAUGCAAGUCGAACGGAAAGGCCCUGCUUUUGUGGGGUGCUCGAGUGGCGAACGGGUGAGUAACACGUGAGUAACCUGCCCUUGACUUUGGGAUAACUUCAGGAAACUGGGGCUAAUACCGGAUAGGAGCUCCUGCUGCAUGGUGGGGGUUGGAAAGUUUCGGCGGUUGGGGAUGGACUCGCGGCUUAUCAGCUUGUUGGUGGGGUAGUGGCUUACCAAGGCUUUGACGGGUAGCCGGCCUGAGAGGGUGACCGGCCACAUUGGGACUGAGGUACGGCGCAGACUCCUACGGGAGGCAGCAGUGGGGAAUAUUGCACAAUGGGCGGAAGCCUGAUGCAGCGACGCCGCGUGCGGGAUGACGGCCUUCGGGUUGUAAACCGCUUUCGCCUGUGACGAAGCGUGAGUGACGGUAAUGGGUAAAGAAGCACCGGCUAACUACGUG